AUGAAAACACAGUGUCUGAAUCAUUGCCUUCAGCUGCACACAGCAACAGCGAGCACCAAAACCUUACUCCAGAAUCUGCACAGCCUACAGCCUCUGAGAGCCUCCCACAUGAGGACUGUGUAGAGGAGAGAAAAAAACCACAGAGAAAAAGGGUCUCCAUUCAGUUGUCAAAAAGCGUCACUUCUGAAUCACUGAUCACCAGUUUACAGGCUGCCUCCAGACACGGCGCUACUCUCUCUGGGGAUUUCAUUUCCACCUCACAGAGAUCGUCAUCCUAAGACAGAAAACCAGUGCUCAGGGAGCUCCUAAUUAGCAAAGUGACUUUUCUCUAGAUUUCUCAUUCACUUGAUGUCUUCCCUUUUUUUCUCACCCUGAUGUCAGUGAUGUCAUUUCAGGUGCGAGCUCACUAGAUGGUGUUUCACCUGUCUGUGGUUAGUGUAAUCUUGGGGAUAUCUUAAUAAAAACGAUGAGCUUUGACAUACUUUAAGUGCUUCUUGAGACAAUUAAAGGGAAACUUUUAUUUGCAUAUGUAGUGCCGAUUUAAUGAAGGGUCGAACACUCAAAAAGCGAGGGC